rnacentral:rRNA from 1 species
UACGUAGGCAGCAAGCGUUGUUCGGAGUUACUGGGCGUAAAGGGUGUGUAGGCGGUUCUUUAAGUUUGGUGUGAAAUCUCCCGGCUCAACUGGGAGGGUGCGCCGAAUACUGAGCGACUAGAGUGCGGGAGAGGAAAGUGGAAUUCCUGGUGUAGCGGUGAAAUGCGUAGAUAUCAGGAGGAACACCGGUGGUGUAGACGGCUUUCUGGACCGUAACUGACGCUGAGACACGAAAGCGUGGGUAGCAAACAGG